rnacentral:tRNA from 2 species
GCGGAUAUGGUGGAAUUGGUAGACACGCAGGUUUUAGGUACCUGUGCUUUACGGCGUGAAGGUUCGAGUCCUUUUAUCCGCACCA